rnacentral:lncRNA from 1 species
CGAAAUCUAUCCAAAAGACAUAUGUACAUAUAUGCGGAAUACAGUGGGUGAGCCGACAAGGCUCAUAUAGACAACUAUAUACCCAAAACUAAAAGCCAACAAGGCCACACACUAUCCAACUAUACAUAACUAUCUACAAACCUCUAAUAGAAAUAUAUUUGUACAAAGAAGGGACUGAGCCAAAUCAUACCCAUAUAUAUAUAUAUAUAUAUAUACAAGCAUAUCAUACCAAAAUCAAAAGCAUCUCCGGAUCAAGUGGAACACGCCAACUCUCGCUGAUCAAGGAUCCUAAGAAGGGGGAUCGUCAGCUUACUUACCUGCACCUGCAGGCAUGAAAUGUAGGCCCCAUAAAAUAGGGCGUCAGUACGAAAAAUGUACUGAGUAUGUAAGGCAUGAAAAUUAGUACGUAAAAGACAUAGAAGAAACAUGGAAUAAAGAAACACGUCUUUAAAUAUGAAUAAGUUUGUAAAUUCUGAAACAUUUAUAAUGCCAUGCACGUACGUAUAAAUGUCGUGUCAUGCAUAGGUAUGGGUGUACAUAAUAUUAUCAAGCCACUGAGGGCAUCCCAUCAUAUCAUCUCGGCAACUAUGGGAAGCAUCAUGAACAUAUACCAACUGAUUUGGUGUUAGUGCAUAUAUAACAUCAUAACCUUUUCCCAUAUUCCAUAUACAUUUAUUUAAAUAUAUACGCGUAUAUAACGCCAUCUGGUCAUGGGUCAAUGCACAUGUAUAAAUGGGUGAAAUGCAUGAAAAAUACAUAAAAAUCUCAAUAUUCUUUUCGGAUAAAUUUUUUUAACUGUGUAUUAUUCUAAGACCCAUGAACAGAAGAUAAUAAUAAUUCUUAUGGGGAUCAAGAAUAUAGGCACCGCUAGUAUUUUUAUGAAUAGAGUAAUUUAUGGAAAUUGUGUUUUUGCUCAUUUCUUAUGUAUAAUUUGGAUCAUGCCAAAAGAAAGAAGGGAUGACCUUAACAUACCUGGAGUAGGGAAAAAUUCAUAUAAUAUUCUUGGCGAAGAUUGCACCGUACACUUUCAGAACCACAAAAUUUGGAUGGAAUUAAGCUUCUGCUCGUUGAAGCUUUUGAACAAUUUAGCUUUAGUCCUUGGCGUUGAAAUGUUUGAACGAUUAUGCUCAUGUUUUUGGCAUUGAAAUGUUUGAACGAUUAUGCUCUUGUUCUUGGCAUUGAAAUGUUUGAACCAAGAAAGAAAGUUCCUUCCUUUAGGAAUUUUUGGUCAUUUCUUGGUUCUGUUUUUGAGAGUGGCAAUGUUAGACAUUUUGUUUGAAAGCCAUAUUUUUGUCUUUU